rnacentral:rRNA from 1 species
UACAGAGGGGGCAAGCGUUAUUCGGAAUUACUGGGCGUAAAGGGUGCGUAGGCGGCUUUCUAAGUCGGAUGUGAAAUCCCUCGGCUCAACCGAGGAACUGCAUCCGAUACUGGCGGGCUUGAAUCCGGGAGAGGGAUGUGGAAUUCCAGGUGUAGCGGUGAAAUGCGUAGAUAUCUGGAGGAACACCGGUGGCGAAGGCGGCAUCCUGGACCGGUAUUGACGCUGAGGCGCGAAAGCUAGGGGAGCAAACGGG